rnacentral:lncRNA from 1 species
UUUCUCCUCCUGUCCUCCGAUUUUCGCGCUUGACCCAACUGUGAGGUUUCUUUGUUGCAAUGUUGGGGUCUGAGAUAACACUUCUGGAGGCUGCAGCCGGGAACCACAGCUGAUGCCAUCUUUUCUUGUCUGUUGUUAAUGACCUAGCAUUAUAAGCUAAGGAGGAAAAGUAACAAAGAGCUUGAAGACUUUCAUGGCUCCCAGGCCCUGGACAGAGGCCGGCGGUCUCAGACAGACAGAACCAAGGAGGGGCCUGUGACGGCACAGCCCAGAAACUUCACAGGACUUCAGAGGCCGGGAGUCUGAAAGCCAGCGCUCAGCAGCACAAGAAGAUUCAAAACUUGCCUUGGAAAAGAUUGAGAAGAGCCAGUAGACUUGGCUUCCUUACUUCUGCUCAUCCCCAUCAGCAGAGAGAAAUAAUGACUCCCGAAACAGUUCACAAUCAAAAGUUAAAACGAUGUUUCAGUGAUGCUACAUCAUGCCAGGUAAUGAUCACCCAACUUGAUUGUACCUUGACCAUUCUUAAUUAUUGA